rnacentral:rRNA from 1 species
AUUGAACGCUGGCGGCAGGCCUAACACAUGCAAGUCGAGCGCGAAAGGCCUUCGGGCUGAGUAGAGCGGCGGACGGGUGAGUAACGCGUAGGAAUCUACCUGGUAGUGGGGGACGAACUUGGGGAAACUCAAGCUAAUACCGCAUACGCCCUAUGGGGGAAAGUGGGGGACCUUCGGGCCUCACGCUAUCAGAUGAGCCUGCGUAGGAUUAGCUAGUUGGUGAGGUAAAGGCUCACCAAGGCGACGAUCCUUAGCUGGUCUGAGAGGAUGAUCAGCCACACUGGGACUGAGACACGGCCCAGACUCCUACGGGAGGCAGCAGUGGGGAAUAUUGCGCAAUGGGGGCAACCCUGACGCAGCCAUGCCGCGUGUGUGAAGAAGGCC